UACGUAGGUCCCGAGCGUUGUCCGGAUUUAUUGGGCGUAAAGCGAGCGCAGGUGGUUUAUUAAGUCUGGUGUAAAAGGCAGUGGCUCAACCAUUGUAUGCAUUGGAAACUGGUAGACUUGAGUGCAGGAGAGGAGAGUGGAAUUCCAUGUGUAGCGGUGAAAUGCGUAGAUAUGUGGAGGAACACCAGUGGCGAAAGCGGCUCUCUGGCCUGUAACUGACACUGAGGCUCGAAAGCGUGGGGAGCAAACAGG
rnacentral:rRNA from 1 species